rnacentral:rRNA from 1 species
AGUGAACGCUGGCGGUAGGCCUAACACAUGCAAGUCGAACGGCAGCACAGUAAGAGCUUGCUCUUACGGGUGGCGAGUGGCGGACGGGUGAGGAAUACAUCGGAAUCUACUUUUUCGUGGGGGAUAACGUAGGGAAACUUACGCUAAUACCGCAUACGACCUACGGGUGAAAGCAGGGGAUCUUCGGACCUUGCGCGAUUGAAUGAGCCGAUGUCGGAUUAGCUAGUUGGCGGGGUAAAGGCCCACCAAGGCGAGGAUCCGUAGCUGGUCUGAGAGGAUGAUCAGCCACACUGGAACUGAGACACGGUCCAGACUCCUACGGGAGGCAGCAGUGGGGAAUAUUGGACAAUGGGCGCAAACCUGAUCCAGCCAUACCGCGUGGGUGAAGAAGGCCUUCGGGUUGUAAAGCCCUUUUGUUGGGAAAGAAAAGCAGCAGGUUAAUACCCCGCUGUUCUGACGGUACCCAAAGAAUAAGCACCGGCUAACUUCGUG